UACGAAGGGGGCUAGCGUUGUUCGGAAUCACUGGGCGUAAAGAGUGUGUAGGCGGUGCUCUAAGUUUGGUGUGAAAUCUCCCGGCUCAACUGGGAGGGUGCGCCGAAAACUGGAAUGCUUGAACAUGGGAGAGGAAAGCGGAAUUCCUGGUGUAGCGGUGAAAUGCGUAGAUAUCAGGAGGAACACCUGCGGUGUAGACGGCUUUCUGGACCAUUGUUGACGCUGAGACACGAAAGCGUGGGUAGCAAACAGG
rnacentral:rRNA from 1 species